AUGGCCUCUCUGGCGGAUAUAUAUUUGUUGCUCUUUGUUGAUGACUUGGUUCAUAUAUAUUUUCUUCUAGCUCUAUGGAGGGUCACCCAAUUCGUGGCAGCCAAUCUAUAUAGUGGCUGUAAGGAUGCAUUUAUGUUAAGACUGGAAAAUGCUCUGUUUUUCUUUUGCUUACUUGAAUUUCUGGUAAAUAAAUACUAA